GUGUAGUGUUCAGAACAUAAUAUUUUUUUCCGUAUUCAUUGCGGUCGGAUAAUUGAAAAGACAAAGACAAUAAUAAAAUAUUCUGGUUCUGCCGAGUUCGGAAUAAUAUACACGUACAGCAUUCGAAGAUGACCGACGAACAUCUGUCGCUAUAGUGUAAUAUACGUAUUUUGUUGUUUCGGCCGAACUGGAUCAAUUUAUUGUUCGGAGUCAUUUCACGUGGCCGAAAGAUGGGAAUAUAAUAUGUUACAUACUAUUGACUAAGUUAUUAUUAUUUGUAUAGUUAUCUCAGAACAGAGUUCACAUGGUUUUAUAAAAAUUACGAGCAACAUCUUUUGUACAUAUUUUUAAUUCGAUAUUUCGAUGUUUAUGUAUACUUAAUAACACAGAAACUAUAUAA